UGGGGAAAAGAAAUGCUGCGUGUAGAAAUCUUUAAGCUUUCAUCCAUUUCUAGGAAACUGGAAUGGGAGGAGCAUUCCUCCCACUCCUGAAGACAUCUGCACUGUGGGGAUACAGAGAAACUACUGCAGCACAAACAAGGUUUUGGCAAAUUAAAGCUUGUCAGAAUUAUAGCAAGCUUCCUGUUGAUCUGGGUCCACUUAUACUUACAGUACAAUUCUGUGCUUCUUUCUGCUGUUCCCCUUUGGACAUAUAAUACUUAAAAACUAGCUCAAGAAUUGAGAGGCUUAAUUCUCUGCACAGUGUAGGAGUAGCCAAGAUAUUUCUUUCUAUGGCCUUCUCCUUCAUUCUCCUGCCUUGUUUUCGACUUAGCAUCUGGCAAAACUGGAAAAACCCUGGGACAUAAAAAUUCCCUUAACUAAAAAUAGCUCUGUGAGCAGCAGAUCUUAUGAGCACUUGCAUCUCAGUGUUUCCUUCCACCACUGACCCUCUGAUACCUGGUAGGCUCCAUGUUCUGGAUCCUGCAGCAUGGAGACCUUCUCACUUCUACUCGGCCACCUGCUUUUGAGAACUUCCCAGACACUUCAUAAAUCCCAAGCCACUGUCAAAUUUGGUUGGAACAGACCAUGAGUUCAAGAAAGACUGGUCACAUCAUGUGGAAAGAGAGAUUAAUAAUUAAUACAGUCUGUCCUAAUGCAUAACGACUUUUCAUUAAGAAGACAGGCUAAAUUUUGCUCCUGAUUAUAUAGCUGUGAGCCCAGAAUUACUCUGAUUCACCAGCUGACUUCAGUAAUAGUGGAGGAUAAUCCUAACUACCUAACUGGACUGAUGUUUAUACACCACCUAACUAUUGCAGUUAUUUACUUAUCAGGUAAGAGUGCAUGUUUAUGAGAAAUAAUGGGGGCAGCAAUAUUAAAUCUUCCAACAACUCCCCACUUGUGCUUGGCAAAUUAAACACCUGAAAAAGGAGGUUAGAAUUCAGAGUACUGUUGGCAUAUUUUAAUUUUCCCUUUUUAGUAGCACAUAAGAAAUAAGUAUACUUACACACAUUCUGGAAAACCCUGUACUCUGCUGCCUAAGGUGCAUUAUUUUCAGAGGACAUUGCGAAUUCAAACAUCACAAAAUAAAGCAAAAUGAGCUUCCUUUGUUACUGACUACUGCUACAUUACAAUAAAAUAAUUAUAAAUCUGA